rnacentral:rRNA from 1 species
UGGCGGCAUGCCUUACACAUGCAAGUCGAACGGCAGCACGGGAGCAAUCCUGGUGGCGAGUGGCGAACGGGUGAGUAAUAUAUCGGAACGUGCCCAGUCGUGGGGGAUAACGUAGCGAAAGCUACGCUAAUACCGCAUACGAUCUAUGGAUGAAAGCGGGGGAUCGCAAGACCUCGCGCGAUUGGAGCGGCCGAUAUCAGAUUAGGUAGUUGGUGAGGUAAAGGCUCACCAAGCCAACGAUCUGUAGCUGGUCUGAGAGGACGACCAGCCACACUGGAACUGAGACACGGUCCAGACUCCUACGGGAGGCAGCAGUGGGGAAUUUUGGACAAUGGACGCAAGUCUGAUCCAGCCAUUCCGCGUGCAGGAUGAAGGCCCUCGGGUUGUAAACUGCUUUUGUACGGAACGAAAAGGUUUCUAUUAAUACUAGGAGCUCAUGACGGUACCGUAAGAAUAAGCACCGGCUAACUACGUG